rnacentral:lncRNA from 1 species
CCCAAAACAGAUAGCUCCCCAGCCGUCCCGGUGACAGCCCAAAGCGCCCUCUCCCCGGCAAGAAAGGAGCCGAGGCGGAGUUCGCUCACAGAGUAAGUGAGCACACGGUAGCAGAGGCCCGGGGACUGCCACGCUGCCGGUCCCCGACUCCGAGAGAAGCGCGCCAGGCUCUCCACAGAGCCGGCGCUUCCACGCCGCCGGAGCCCGGGGCAGGAAAGAGAGGAGGCGAGCAACUCACCGGGGGACAACGCGGCUGGGGUCCGACUGAGCGGCGUGGCGCUGCGUGGCCUGACGUGACGGGCGACCGGCAAAGCGGCGAGGCAAGUUCCCGCUGGUUUCCACAGGCCAUUGCGACCAUCGGAGUCUCGAAGGGAACCAAGAACUCUGAAAAUCAACAGUUCUUGCAAAAGUCCCACCACCUCCACCACAGGACCGAUCUGGACCUGCAGGAACUUUUGCCCCUGGGACAGUGAGGGGUCUUGAACAUCUGAGCCAAAGAAGAUUAAAGGAACCUCUGCUGACAAGGAACACCAGACCCAGCUGUGCUGAGGAAACCUGGCCAGGGGUGAGAAGGAACCAGCACAAACCCGGUGAGUGCAGAAUCAAUGGAGCAGGGACACCACUGGCUGUGGGAACUUAUAGGAGGCUGGAGGUCUUGGCUCCAGUUCCAAGCCAGAGGGGAGAAUUAAAGGAGUGUCUGAGGCCAGAGGCACCAUUCCUCUGUACUCUAAAACUAGAGAUGAUUAAAAAGACUAAGCUACUGCAAAUUAAAAAAAAAUGCACAGGCAAAGAAGAAAUUUAACCAUAAAAAGUAACUAUGGGAAUAGAGAAGACUGGGGUUCAUCUUCAGAAGAGGAUACUGAAGCAAAGAAACCCUCUUCUACCCCAAAGAGUAAUGUUAAAUGGUCACCUGCUCAAAAAAAAAAUCCACAGAAGAACUUAAAAAAGACUUUAAAUUUUUUUUCUUUUGGCUAGGCAAUGGGGUUAAGUGACUUGCCCAGGGUCACACAGCUAGUAAGUGUUAUGUGUCUGAGGUCAGAUUUGAAUUCAGGUCCUCCUGAAUCCAGGGCCGGUGCUCUAUGCACUGCGCCACCUAGCUGCCCCAAAGACUUUAAAAAUUAAAUGUAAAGAUUGAAUAAAAACUAAAAAAAAAACA